rnacentral:rRNA from 1 species
AGAAUCAACGCUGGCGGCGUGCCUAACACAUGCAAGUCGAACGAGAAAGUGGAGCAAUCCAUGAGUAAAGUGGCGCACGGGUGAGUAACACGUGACUAACCUACCCUUGAGUGGGGGAUAACCUAGAGAAAUCUGGGCUAAUACCGCAUAAUACCUUCGGGUCAAAGGAGCAAUUCGCUUAAGGAGGGGGUCGCGGCCGAUUAGUUAGUUGGCGGGGUAAUGGCCCACCAAGACUAUGAUCGGUAUCCGGCCUGAGAGGGCGCACGGACACACUGGAACUGAAACACGGUCCAGACUCCUACGGGAGGCAGCAGUGGGAAUUUUGCGCAAUGGGGGAAACCCUGACGCAGCAACGCCGCGUGGAGGAUGAAGUCCCUUGGGACGUAAACUCCUUUCGAUCGGGACGAUUAUGACGGUACCGAGAGAAGAAGCCCCGGCUAACUUCGCGCCAGCAGCCGC